rnacentral:rRNA from 1 species
CCCUGCAUCUAGCCCACCUCACACCCCCGUAACAUCAUCAUAACUUUUUUUCCUCCAUAAAACAUUUUUCCUAUUCAGUAGAGGAGAUCAAAAAAUUUCUUGGAGCUAUAUCCUCAGUACCGCAAGGGAAAGAUGAAAUAAAAAUGAAAAAUACCACAAGCCCAAAAAAGUAGAGUUUAACUCUCGUACCUUUUGCAUCAUGGUUUAACUAGUCUUAUCAAGCAAAAAGAUUUUUAGUUUGAACUCCCGAAUCUAAGCGAGCUACUUUAGGACAGUUUAAUGAACGAACCCGUCUCUGUUGCAAAAGAGUGGGAAGAUCCUAAAAUAGAGGUGACAGACCUAACGAGCCUAGAGAUAGCUGGUUGCUCCAGAAAAGGAUUUUAGUCCUGCUUAAACCACAAUGAUUACUACAAAAAUCUGUUUAAAGUUAUUCAAAUAAGGUACAGCCUAUUUGAACAAGGAUACAACCUUAAUUACUGGGCCUCAUACUUUUCUAAUAACAAAGUAGGCCUGAAAGCAGCCAUCUUUAACAAAAGCGUCAAAGCUUAUUUAUUAAUCUAGUCAAUUCCAAUAUCUUUAAUUACCCCUUACCUCCCUAUAGAGCAACUCUAUAUUUAUAUAGAAAAUUUUAUGUUAAAACGAGUAAUAAGAAGCUAAUCCUUCUCUUUAAACGCAAGUUUACAUCAGCCCGGAUUCUCCACUGAUAAUUAACGCCCAUAACAACGAAGAAGAAACAAAACAAGAAAAAUCUUCUAUCAAAAACGUUAACCUAACACCAGAGCGUUUCAAGAAAGAUUUAAAGAAAAAGAAGGAACUCGGCAAACAUUAGUCCCGCCUGUUUACCAAAAACAUCGCCUCUUGUAAAAUCAAUAAGAGGUCCAGCCUGCCCAGUGACUCUGUUCAACGGCCGCGGUAUCCUAACCGUGCGAAGGUAGCGUAAUCACUUGUUCUUUAAUUGAGGACUUGUAUGAAUGGCCCCACGAGGACUACACUGUCUCCUUUUUCUAAUCAAUGAAACUAAUCUCCCCGUGAAGAAACGGGGAUAAACCUAUAAGACGAGAAGACCCUAUGGAGCUUUAAACAACAAGAGUAUCUGCUUUACCUUAAUUCCACUUUCUGAAACCUAAAUUAAUUCAAGCAUCUUACCUCCCAGUUUUAGGUUGGGGUGACCACGGAGAAUAAACCAACCUCCAUGUUGAAAUGAAGCUUAAUCCCUCUAAGCAAAAAGCUACAACUUUAUGCAUCAACAUAUUGACUUCCAUUGACCCAAUAAUUUGACCAACGAACCAAGUUACCCUAGGGAUAACAGCGCAAUCUACCUCGAGAGCUCAUAUCGACAGGUAGGUUUACGACCUCGAUGUUGGAUCAGGGUGUCCUAGUGGUGCAGCCGCUACUAACGGUUCGUUUGUUCAACGAUUAAAACCCU